AUCGGCAGUGUUUGUAUAGUGUAUAUUCUUCCCUUUCUUGGUGAAGGUGGUCAAACUGCAGCAGAAAGAAUCAACAAGGGGAAUUUGACUGACACGUUGAAGAAAUACAAUCAUUGUUGGAGGAUGGAUAAUUGAUUGGAAGGAUUCAAAUGAGGAAAAUAUGGACAUGGAUUUGAGAGGAGGAAACUCACUCAAAAGUCUUGGAGAAAAAAGGGAGUUUCAGGCAGUAAAUCGGAUUACUUCCAAGGAGGGAAAUGUCAUUCCCAACACCAUAUCACCACAACCCUCAGCACAGCCUCAGUGACCUUGUGGAUGCAUCAGAGCACAAUGGACCAGCUAAUUUCUAUCAAAUCCCCCAUGGCAGCUUGGAAGGAUCCAGAAGCAUAAAAAUGUAAGAUUGCAAUUAUGUUGAGAGCCACAGAGCUGUGCUUGCUGAAGAUCGCCCCUGCAAAUCAGAUGCUAAAAGAUGGCAGAACUCAGUAACCAUCUUUGCAUUCAUUGCCUGGCACUUAGCACCAGGUAAUUGAUCCUGAGGCAAUAGUUAUGUUACCAUGGAUAUCUAAUGUCCGGACCAUGAGAGUCUAUGCAUUCUGUACUUCCUUUAAGCCUUCUGCAACUAUGUGCUAGAAACAAACAUAAACAAUGCUGUUAAUGCGGAAAAUUGCUGAGAAUUUGCUGCCUUCUAUUAUUUUAAGCCCCUGUUCCAAAGAGGAGCAAAUAAUAAUUGCAGUCUUUAACUAAAAUUAAAUAGAGAGUAAUGUUAGUGAAUAAAUGAAUAUUACUCAUUGUCAGUUACUAUCAUUAAUUAGCCCACUAACAAAAAAAAAUGUGAUUUUGGUUAUUGAAUGCCUGAAAUUUCUUUUGUCACAUUAACAAUAUUUUUUAUUUCUACUGGUGUCUAUAGUAAUGGGCAAACACAAAGUCCAGUGAUAUCUUAGUUUUGCAAGCAUCAGAAUUUAAUGAAUGGGCUAAAAAUGAAUUUGGUGCAUAAUUUGGUAAAAUGCAUUCUAGUAAAGUUGAUUUUUUUUGGUGCAGUGGUGACCACCAUUUAUCAAAGGUGAAACAAAGCUGAAAACUCUAAUGUUAACGGGCCAUUUUAUUUAUUGACAGGAUCUCUGUAUCUCUCUGUAACUGAGAGCUUUACAGCAUUAACAAUACCAUUUUAAGGUCUGAAUUUGACUUUAAUUUGAUAUAAAUUUUUUACUUCAGUCCUUCAGUAAAUUCAGUCUAGAAACCCUUAAGGAAGACUUUUAAUUAUAUGCUGAUGAUUAGGUAAACAUAUUCUCCUUUUUUGCUAUGUGCAACAAAGCAGCCAAUUCUCCUUUACUGUUAGAUUCAACU